rnacentral:lncRNA from 1 species
GUGGAACUGUUGUUUUUCUUAGGGCAAGCUAGCAGAUAGAAGUAAUCUAUCUGGUUAGCCAGGCGAAGCAUUUAGGGUUCAGUGCCUGGUUUCAAGUGUUCUUCUUCAUCGUUUGGCACUUCACUUUUUGUUGAGUAAUCCAAUGGCCUAAUGACACAUGCACAUCUUUUGGUGAUGUCGCCUUACUUAGUGACUAGCUCAAGUGCAUUUGAUCGCAAAAAAGACUGGCAUUGGCUCCGGGUCAAAUCUACAGGGGGCAUGCAAAUCAAAUGCGAAAGAAAGGAAAACAUUUCUGUUUCUUCUGCUUCAAUGCCGUGAUACACUCAGGAUGUUUACGAUACCUACCCAUUAAUUGCUCUAACUUCUCGUGGUUCACCCCUAGCUAUGCCCGCUUCUAUGAAAUUCCAAAUUAUGCUUGCAAGCUCAUCGGAGCUAGGCAACUCUUUGUCAGUGAUUUCAUGCCUACCAAGCAGGUACACUCUAAUGUAUACACCCUUUAAGAAAAGAAAUCCUUCUCGUAUUCUGCUGCUUUUUUGAUUCAUUUUAUCCCAAUAAUAGCAUAGACAUCAUAUAUUUAUUCUUGCAAGCUCAAGUGCUUGAUUGUUGACAAAUUCUUCUCUCAGCAGGGCACCUCAGGUAUCUAUCUAUAGUUUCCUGAUGACACGACCUCUUUUUGCUCCAUAAACGAAUUUGAAAAAGGAAGAAGGCUUUAGCUCCCUUCCAUUGUCUUGGGUCAAAGAUCAAGCGUGAACUUCUCCCUCAUCUAAGGUUGGGUUGUGGAUAAUAGACUUCCCCUUGGGCCGGAUCUUCCCAAGUAUAACACGAUCCAUGAGCGAUAUCAAUGCAGUGACAGUCCUUGCUAUUGAGUCCUGUGCUGGUAAGAUGACAACGCUCUAAAAGGUUUGUUUAAGAAAGCAAUCAUAUCCCGUCCCCAAGUGCGGUAUGGACCCCAAAGAGUUAUAUAAGUAGGAAAAUGGGAAGAAUUGAGGCACCUACAAAAGUAAUGGGUCAGCUUAUGAUUUUAGGCAUGGUUACUGGAGGGAUCGUCCCUACCUAUCUGCGCAAGAUCGAAUCAGUAUGGUUUUGAGAGGAAGGCUGGUGGCAUACGAAGAGAGGGCGACAGAACAUCUGCAUUCCCUUUCUUUGAUUGAGAGAAGGAUAAAGCAGAAAAAAAGACUUGACUGAAACUCCAUUCGCUUUUUUCCUUCCUGAGAUAUGGAAUGUCAUUAAAUUAAGUAGAUGAGAUGCCAAAUAUAGGCAUGAGUUAUUUCGCCAAGCAAAGCUUUGUGUUCUGAAGGUAAAAAAAGAUGGUAAAGCCCAUUAAAAAGAGUGCCACGCAGCAGCACCUCCUGUGUCACUCGAUCCAAACCCGACACAUCUUUCUUUCUAUACGAAAUGAGUCAGCUUAUGAUUUUAGGCAUGGUUACUGGAGGGAUCGUCCCUACCUAUCUGCGCAAGAUCGGAUCAGUAUGGUUUUGAGANN